UACGGAGGGUGCAAGCGUUAUCCGGAUUCACUGGGUUUAAAGGGUGCGUAGGUGGGUUGGUAAGUCAGUGGUGAAAUCUCCGGGCUUAACCUGGAAACUGCCAUUGAUACUAUCAAUCUUGAAUACCUUGGAGGUGAGCGGAAUAUGUCAUGUAGCGGUGAAAUGCUUAGAUAUGACAUAGAACACCAAUUGCGAAGGCAGCUCACUACACGGUCAUUGACACUGAGGCACGAAAGCGUGGGGAGCAAACAGG
rnacentral:rRNA from 1 species